GACGAACGCUGGCGGCGUGCUUAACACAUGCAAGUCGAACGAGUGGCGAACGGGUGAGUAAUACGAGGGUAACCUGCCCUCUUUUUGGGAUCCGCCUUGGAAACCGGGUCUAAUACAGAAUAAAGGGGGAUGGGCUCGCGGCCUAUCAGCUUGUUGGGGGGUUGAUGGCCUACCAUGGGGGGGACGGGUAGCCGGCCUGGGCGGGGGACCGGCCACAUUGGGAGGGGGAGACGGCCCAGGCUCCUACGGGAGGCAGCUGUGGGGUAUAUUGCACAAUGGGCGAACACCUGAUGCAGGGACGCCGCGUGGGGGAUGAAGGUUGUCGGUUUGUAAACCUCUUUCGAUGUGGAACGGGUAGGUGGAGAAGAAGCGCCGGCUAACUACGUGCCAGCAGCCGCGGUAAUAC
rnacentral:rRNA from 1 species